UAUCUUGCUCCUCGCCCUCUAACGACUCCAUGAAGCUUUGCAUCCUCAUGAUUACGAUCUGGCAUGUCCUGCUGGGGGUAGAUUUAUGCAUAUAGAAGAGAGGUACUCAUAAGAUGGUGGAGGAGGCAAGCUACAUAUAGAAGAGAGAUUGGUGGAGCUAGUGAAGUUUAAGUUGGUGAGAAAAAAGAUAGGGUCACAAAUGCUCGAAAUGCUGGAAGAGCUGUUGUUAAGGAGGGUAUUGUCCUAGGCUGAUGACCAAAGCUGCAAAUGAUGGUGUUGAUGGUCGGUUCCUCUCUGAGUUUGAUCAGUUUUGAGACACGCGAUGGUCUUUGUUAUCAAAUAGCUUGUCUUCUCGAACAGUGGGAUUCGAGGUCAUCAAUGUGUGUGACGAGUUCAUCAUGCCGCAACAGUGGUGGUGAUGAUGCUCGGCCUCGUCUACAACUUCUCCACCUUGGAGCAUAGGAGGCUGCUUUCUGAUGCAUGACUAGAGGGUGGCCUCGUUCUUUGACUACAUGGCUUUUUUUACUGAUCGUGAUGCAUCAAUGUAAACUUCAAGUCCUUCUCAAAGGUGCUACAGUCAUCUCUUAUGUUAGUGGACGAGACUGGCAAGAGAUUGUAGGCGAAUAUGGUUUGAUUUGUGCCACUGCAAAACCCCAUUUGAGGUCUAGUGUUGAUGUGAUGUACCCAUCAGUUUUGCAGCUACUAUCUUGGACGAGUACUCGACUUACGUUUACCGACCCAAUGUAUAUGAAUUGGUUAUUUCAACCCUGGAAGACCAAGUGAAGUGAUAGCAGAACUUUCCAUGGGGUUGUUAGGAUUAAAAUGUGCAAAUUUGGGUUCUUUCUCCUAUGUAUAAUUCAAUACUCAUACUUUGGCAUGUGGAAAGGUUGAGGAGAUCCCAAAGAAUUUCCCUUUCAAACUCACCGACAGGAAGUGGCACAAUUCUGGUUUCCAUGCCGAGCCUAAUCACUGGAUGUUAGGCGGAAGGACAAGGACGACAAAGAGAAAUACGAUGACCAGGAAGAUGGCGGGAAUGCCCCACAAAGUCCAGCAUUCUCCUCAGAGUCACAGUCUCCAAGAAUGACGUCCCAAGCCUCGAGUUCACCUGCAUCGCCUACCCGACGAGAUCAUGAUCGACACCUUGCCCGUUAGGCAGCCGGUUGCGAACGACUUGGAGGAGAUGAUUGCAUACGAGGGUUCUGAUUUCAACGACCUCGACGAGAACCUGCAGAGGGCAUUCCACAAGUGCGUGGAGCUGUGGUCUGCUAUGGGGUAGUCUCUUGUGCUUAAUGUUGUGAUUUUGAAGUCACUGCUUAACAUGCAGUCGUUUUAUACAUGAUGUGCAUGAUAUCAUGUUGUAUAUUGUCGUUGUCAUGGUAAGAUUCAGAGUGGUAGCUAGAUGUGUGUUCUGUGUCGCGUUGGUCUAGCUAGGUUCAGGCUGGCAUUUGCAUUUUUGUUUCAUGCUUGCUGUUGGCGGUUAAUAUGCUUGUUCCAAAUCGGCAUAUUUCAUGAGCCUACCUCUACUUGUUGGGAUUUUUCUUUACCCAGUGUUCUUACUAUUGGUACGGACUUGGAGUGUAUGUCGCGGGCUUGGUCAUUGUGCUGGAAUUGGGGACCUUUUUCCUGGGCGGAUGUUUCCAUCGAUUCUUCUCACGCAUGGUGAUGCAGUCCUCUCUUAUGUUAGUGGACGAGACUAGCAAGAGAUUGUAGGCGAAGAUGGGUUGAUUUUUGUGCCACUGCAAAACCUCGUUUGAGGUAUGGUGUUGCCGUGAUGUACCCAUUAGUUGUGCAGCUACCAACUUGGACGAGUACUCGACUUAUGUUUACCGAACAAUGUAUAUGAAGUGGUUAUUUCAGCCCUGGAAGACCAAGUGAAGUGACAGAAGAACUUGCCAUGGAGGUUUGAGGAUUAAAAUGUGCAAAUUUGGGUUGUUCCUCCUUUGUAUAAGUCAAUACUCCAAUAUUUUGGCAUGUGGAAAGGUGUUGAAGCAACAUUCUUUUUGUUUGUUUGUCAAGAUGAAUAAUGUGUUCCUCUUCAGCUUUAGUGAUUUGUAAUAUUAGAUGGUUUCUUAUUCUGCUGCUUAGGAAUUGCAACUAUGUUUUGCUAGAGCAAUUAUGUGCGCAAGGCUAUUGUGUUAUGAUUAGUGAAGUUGUUAUCAUAUCAACUAUCAUAUCUUGUUCGAGACCCUACAUUUGAUGAU